CCUCCGGGAGGCAGCAGUGAGGAAUAUUGGUCAAUGGGCUUACGCCUGAACCAGCCAAGUCGCGUGAGGGAAGACUGCCCUAUGGGUUGUAAACCUCUUUUGUCAGGGAGCAACGCCGGCUACGUGUAGCCGGACUGAGAGGACCUGAAGAAAAAGCAUCGGCUAACUCCGUGCCAGCAGCCGCGGUAAUACGGAGGGUGAAAGCGUUGUCCGGAAUCAUUGGGCGUAAAGAGUUCGUAGGCGGCAUGUAAAGUCAGGUGUGAAAGGCGCCGGCUCAACCUGUGUAUGGCACUUGAUACUUGCAAGCUGGACUGCGGUAGAGGUAAAGCGAAUUCCUGGUGUAGCGGUGACAUGCUUAGAUAUCAGGAGGAACAUCGGUGGCGUACGCGCUUUACUGGGCCGUAAUUGACGCUGAGGCACGAAAGCCCGGGUAGCAAAUUGGAUUAGAUACCCCUGUAGUC
rnacentral:rRNA from 1 species